rnacentral:rRNA from 1 species
GCUUAUGGCCAUACCACCCUGUCUGUGCCCGAUCUCGUCUUAUCUCGGAAGCUAAGCAGAGGCGGGCCUGGUUAGUACUUGGAUGGGAGACCCCCUUGGAAUACCAGGUGCUGUAAGCU